GGGGAAUUGUUCGCAAUGGGCGCAAGCCUGACGACGCAACGCCGCGUGGAGGAUGAAGAUCUUCGGGUCGUAAACUCCUGUCGAGCGGGAAGAACACCUUUCGGGCGAAUAUCCCGGAAGGCUGACGGUAUCGCUAAAGGAAGCCCCGGCUAACUCCGUGCCAGCAGCCGCGGUAAUACGGAGGGGGCCAGCGUUGUUCGGAAUCAUUGGGCGUAAAGGGCGCGUAGGCGGCUUGGUAAGUCCGUUGUGAAAUCCCUCGGCUCAACCGAGGAACUGCGACGGAUACUGCUUGGCUUGAGUCCCGGAGAGGGUAGCGGAAUUCCCAGUGUAGCGGUGAAAUGCGUAGAUAUUGGGAGGAACAUCGGUGGCGAAGGCGGCUACCUGGACGGGUACUGACGCUGAGGCGCGAAAGCUAGGGGAGCAAA
rnacentral:rRNA from 1 species